ensembl:lncRNA
UCCUAUUAAUAAACGGUUAAGGAAUGUGUAUUUAUGACGACGAUUUGUGAGACUGGUAAACUUAUGAUACGUACGAUGGUCUUUCGUUCUACACGGUGCAUUUCAAGGUCCUGCACCCAUCCGUCGGUAAACUGUACCUGGGCUUGUUGCAGUGACCUGAAGUUACUAAACUUCAUGAGUGUGUGCACUCACUCCAAGAACCGUAUGAUUAUAAAUAUGCAUAUAAAUAUGCUAAGAUGAGAUAGCUGACUUCAUCUAACUAGCAAAUGUUGUCCAGGCUACGUUGGUGAUGCAGUUUUUUUUUAAUGUGUAUGAUAUUUUUGUCAUGCGAUUUUAAAGCCGGUCCUACAACCGCAUCCAAGAAUAACAUGCAGCGUAUCUCAG